GGAAGGAUCAUUACCGAAUUGUAAACAUGAGUUGUUGCUGGCCCUCAAACGGGGGCAUAUGUGCACGCUCUGUUCACACAUCCACUCACACCUGUGCACCCUCCGUAGUUCUGUGGCCUGGGGGCCUGUCCUCCUGCCGUGGUUCUAUGUCUUUACACACACACACUGUAACGAAGUCUUAUGGAAUGUAUGCCGCGUUUAACGCAAUACAAUACAACUUUCAGCAACGGAUCUCUUGGCUCUCGCAUCGAUGAAGAACGCAGCGAAAUGCGAUAAGUAAUGUGAAUUGCAGAAUUCAGUGAAUCAUCGAAUCUUUGAACGCACCUUGCGCCCUUUGGCCAUUCCGAAGGGCAUGCCUGUUUGAGUAUCAUGAACAUCUCAACUCUCAUGGCUUGCCAUGAUGAGCUUGGACUUUGGGGGUCUUGCUGGCCUGUGGUCGGCUCCUCUCAAAUGGAUCAGCUUACCAGUGUUUGGUGGCAUCACAGGUGUGAUAACUAUCUGCGCUUGUGGUUUUCCAUCAGAUAACCUUCAGCAAUGGAGGUUCGCUGGAGCUUAUAAACGUCUCUCCUAAGCGAGGACAGCUCUUUGAACGUUUGAUCUCAAAUCAGGUAGGACUACCCGCUGAACUUAAGCAUAUCAAUAAGCGGAGGAAAAGAAACUAACAAGGAUUCCCCUAGUAACUGCGAGUGAAGCGGGAAGAGCUCAAAUUUAAAAUCUGGCGUGCCUCUGGUCGUCCGAGUUGUAGUCUGGAGAAGCGUUUUCCGUGUUGGACCGUGUAUAAGUCUCUUGGAACAGGGCGUCAUAGAGGGUGAGAAUCCCGUCUUUGACACGGACUACCAAUGCUUUGUGAUACGCUCUCAAAGAGUCGAGUUGUUUGGGAAUGCAGCUCAAAAUGGGUGGUAAAUUCCAUCUAAAGCUAAAUAUAGGCGAGAGACC
rnacentral:rRNA from 1 species